rnacentral:rRNA from 1 species
CAGCAGCCGCGGGAAUACGGAGGGUGCAAGCGUUAAUCGGAAUUACUGGGCGUAAAGCGCACGCAGGCGGUUUGUUAAGUCAGAUGUGAAAUCCCCGGGCUCAACCUGGGAACUGCAUUUGAAACUGGCAAGCUAGAGUCUCGUAGAGGGGGGUAGAAUUCCAGGUGUAGCGGUGAAAUGCGUAGAGAUCUGGAGGAAUACCGGUGGCGAAGGCGGCCCCCUGGACGAAGACUGACGCUCAGGUGCGAAAGCGUGGGGAGCAAACAGGAUUAGAUACCCCGGUAGUCCCUGUCUCUUAUAC